AAGAUGGACCCGACUUGCUGUUACUAGAGCC
rnacentral:piRNA from 1 species